GACGAACGCUGGCGGCGUGCCUAAUACAUGCAAGUCGAACGCAGUGGGGACGGGUGAGUAACACGUGGGUAACCUCCCAUCAGAGGGGAUAACACUUGGAAACAGGUGCUAAACCGAUACUGAUGGAUGGACCCGCGGUGCAUUAGCUAGUUGGUGAGGUAACGGUUCACAAAGGCCACGAUGCAUAGCCGACCUGUGAGGGUGAUCGGCCACACUGGGACUGAGACACGGCCCAGACUCCUACGGGAGGCAGCAGUGGGGAAUUUUGGACAAUGGGGGCAACCCUGAUCCAGCCAUGCCGCGUGUAUGAAGAAGGCCUUCGGGUUGUAAAGUACUUUCAGCGGGGAGGCGUUACCCGCAGAAGAAGCACCGGCUAACUCCGUGCCAGCAGCCGCGGUAAUAC
rnacentral:rRNA from 1 species